CAGCCACCGACGUGUGUUUACGGUCCGAGGCUCCGGCGGAAGCGGCGAGAGAGUUGUUUGCGCUUCGGGGGAAAGUUUCAAGAAUGUGUUGAGCUGAUUCUAUCCGGUUAUACUCAGGGUUUUGGGAAUGGAUUCGACAUUAUUGCUGCUCCUACUGACCGGGUGCAGCGUGAAAUUUGCGCUCGGUCAGCAGGGCCCGGUCUUCAUCCUGGAGCCGCCGAGCACCCUAGUCUUUUCAAAUACCACGGGCUCCCAAUUAGGCUGCUCCGCACACGGCAGCCCGACGCCGCAUGUCACGUGGAUUACCAGCCCGGAUCAGAGAUCGGUUACAGCAGUUCCGGGGCUCAGGCAACUUCUGGGCAACGGUACGCUAUACUUUCCGCCGUUCCUGGCUCAGGAUUUCAGAGCCGAGGUUCACAAUGCCCGAUACAGAUGCCGAGCGACCAGCUCCGUCGGGACCGUACUUUCACGCGAGGUCACUCUCCGCGCUGUAUUGACGGUACCCGGAUACGACGUCAGGGUAAACAGACAACCCGUCAUGGAAGGAUGCAACGCAGUGUUGUCUUGUACAGCUCGGGAAGAUGUUAAGGAACAUCUCACUGUAACCUCCUGGUUUCGUGACGAUGCCAUUCUCUUACCUGGAAACACAGACACCGGUGGGAGAUUCGUAGUCACCUCGCAGGGUGACCUUCAUAUUAGGGGCGCCAGACCGGAAGACGGCAGAGCGACGUAUUCAUGUCUAACCCUACAUGCCUUGACCAGCGAACGAAGAAAAAGCGAACCCGCCACUUUAACAGUCACGGAACCAACUGGUUUCUCGCCGCCGCGAUUGAUGCAACGAUCUGAAAUCGCUAUUUCCGCUGAAAGCGGCUCCGAUGUUCACCUCACGUGCUCGGCGCAAGGAAGCCCGCCACCGCAAUUUACCUGGUAUCGCGAUGUUAAUGGCCACUCAAUACCGGUCGAAUCGUUCGGCCGUAUCCAGCUUUGGGGUGAUUUGAUGCAAAUUCGUCGCGUAGAUGCGCAAGACGCAGGAAGAUACGUUUGCCGGGCCAGCAAUCAACUUGGCGAGCAACGAGCGGAGACGCACUUGUCAGUCACAUCAAAGCUAAACGCUCGGAUUCAGCCGCGUGUGCAAGUCAUUAAUUCCGGCGAGACCGCCACGAUGAACUGCACGGUCGAAGGAUAUCCGGUCGAGAGCGUUGAGUGGCUACAUGACGGUGUCCCAGUAUUGACCGCGCAGGACACGAGGAUCAGAUUGUUAGCUCCCUUGGUGCUCGUGAUAGGCUCCGUUGGUCGCAGAGACAAAGGGAUGUAUCAAUGUUUGGUGAGGAGCGACAAGGAAAAUGCUCAGGCCACCGCCGAACUCAAGCUCGGAGACACGGUCCCGGAAUUGCAGUACACGUUUAUUGAGCAGGCACUACGACCGGGCCCGCCGGUCUCUCUGCGAUGUUCUGCUACUGGUUCACCGACGCCAUCCUUUACGUGGCUACUAGACGGUGAACCACUGAGUCAGAUUGCAACUGGACACAGAUACGCGAUAGGCCAAUACGUGGAUCAAUCCGGUGACGUGAUCAGUCACUUAAACAUUUCAUCGGCGGGAGCCGAGGAUGGUGGCCUGUAUGCUUGUGUGGCGUCCAACACUCUAGCGAUCGUCGAGCACAAAGCUAGAUUGAACAUUUACGGACCGCCGUACAUCCGAUCGAUCGGCCCGGUUCGCGCCAUCGCUGGUGUCGACAUUACAAUAGCGUGUCCUUACUCAGGAUACCCGAUCACAUCGGUCGGAUGGACCCGAGGUGGUGCCGAGUUGCCCUUUGACAUUAGGCAGCGGGUCGACAGCGAGGGCCACCUUACGAUCCUCACGGUAGAUCCGAAUGAUGCCGGUACUUACACGUGUAUAGUUCGAGCAAGUUCCGGGGAGACUGCCAACAGGGAUAUAUUACUAACUGUUAAUAGUCCACCAGUAAUGAGUCCCUUCAGCUUUCCCGCGAAUUCGCAAGAAGGCAGUCGUGCUCAAGUGACUUGUAGCGUGACGUCGGGCGAUCUUCCAAUCUACAUUUCCUGGUUGAAAGAUGGCGAGCCACUGCCUUCUUCCCUUCGCAUUGAAGAGCGAGGUGCCGAGUUCUUCAGCCUCCUCGUCUUCAAGGAACUGUCGUCGCGGCACAGCGGCAAAUACACCUGUGUGGCCACGAAUAGCGCCGCGAAGGUCAACCACACGGCCGAACUUUUGGUAAAAGUACCGCCUCAAUGGAUAUUCGAACCGCUAGACGUGGCGACUCUCCUGGGUAACCCGUUAAAUGUCCAUUGCGAGGCCAAAGGUUUUCCACCACCGCGUAUCACGUGGCUGCGUGCCAGAGGCAGAACGUCCAACGACUAUCAGCCGCUGGUCGAUGGUUCCGAUGGUAGACUUACGAUAUUGCCUAAUGGAUCUUUGUGGACGGCUUCCGCCGGUCCGCAGGAUGAGGGUUACUAUCUCUGUAGGGCUAACAAUGGCAUCGGAUCCGGACUAAGCAAAGUGAUAUACGUGUCAGUGCACGAACCGGCGAGAUUCGAGUUUCAGAGUAAAAAUGUAACGAUUCGCCGUGGAGAAUCCGUAACUAUCGAUUGCACUGUAAUCGGUGAUAAUCCUAUAGAGGUUCAAUGGAUGCACAACAGUGAUCGAUUGGAUAUGAGCAAUCAUAGACUAAGCAUCGGUCAAAUAAAGACUGACAACGGCCUGAAGUCCCAAUUAUCUAUCGCAAACAGUGAUCGGCAAGAUUCCGGGGUCUACAGAUGCACCGCUGACAACGCUUAUGGAAGAAGCGAACAUCUGAUUUAUUUAGCAGUUCAAGAGAGGCCGGAUCCUCCAGCUGGACUCGAAGUAAUAGAGAUCGGUUCCCGAUCAAUACGGUUAUUAUGGAAGCGAGCCUUCGACGGAAACAGCCCUAUAAGAAAUUACGUGAUACAAUAUCGCUCGCUGAGCCACGGUAUGACCGAUGAUUGGAAUCCCGUCAAAACGCACAAUGUCACGUACACGCCAGGAAGCUCCAAUAGCGGUAAUUCUAUACAUCCGACUCAAAACGGCUUAUCUCCGUUCGAAACCACCGGCGAUGAUCAAGAGGUAGCUCUGGUCGGUGGUCUUCAUCCGGCCGUUACCUAUACCUUCAGGAUAUUUGCUAUAAACUCCAUCGACGCGAGCGGACCGACGGAACCAGUCGUGGCGAAAACUCAGGAGGAAGCACCUACCGAACCACCGCAAAACAUCAAAGUGCAAUCUGCCGGGCCUGGAGAGCUCAUGGUCAGUUGGCAACCACCUCCAAAAGAAUCGUGCAACGGCGAUCUGCUAGGAUACAUAGUGACGUGGUCGGAACAUUCGUCGUCGACUUCGGGUGUCAAUCAAAGCAAAAGUUUAACCGUAAACGGUUGGGCGACGACAAAGGUGCAGCUGACCGGUUUGAGAAAAUUUACGAAAUACGGCAUUUCGAUCCGAGCUUUCAACAGCAUAGCCAGUGGACCAGCUAGUGCUCCCAUCGUGGGCACUACUCAAGAAGGAGUACCGGAAACGCCGCCGACUCAAGUGACAUGCGUUCCAUUGUCUUCCCAAAGCGUCAAAGUGUCUUGGAGUCCGCCUCCGCCUCAUCAGCACGGCGGAAUUAUUCAAGGAUACAAAGUCUAUUACAGGCCGGUUCCUACUGAUAACAUGGAUAUAUCGACGGUCGGCGAAGUUAAAAGAACUUCCAGCAUGGACACUUACUUGCACACGUUGUACAAGUACACGAAUUACUCCAUCAAGGUAUUGGCUUACACAGGCGCGGGUGACGGAGCGUUGAGUCCACCGAUCUUCUGUAUGACAGAAGAAGAUGUUCCAGGCCCGCCCGCUGGCAUUAAAGCACUGGCGUUAACAGCGGAAAGCAUAUUAGUUUCCUGGUUGCCGCCGUUGCAGCCUAACGGAAAUGUCUCAAAAUACACUGUGUAUAGCAGAGAAGCUGGCUCGAAAAAUCAUAACGCGCACACGAUGCACGAACCGCCACUAUCGCCUACGGAUACUCUUACAAUGGAAUUACGAGAUUUAGUGGAGAGGCAAUUAUACGAGUUUUGGGUAUCGGCAACGACCGGUCUCGGAGAAGGGGAACGAACCACCAUAGUUUCGCAAACAACGAAUACCAGAGCUCCCGCUAGAGUGGCGUCAUUCUCGCAAAUAUUAAGAAGAGCUGUAAAAUCGUCGGUCACCCUGUCGUGUUUAGUGGUCGGAAAUCCUACGCCACGACCUAUUUGGACAUACAGAAACAAUCAAAUCACCACCGGCAGGCAUUACGAACUUACACCCGACGGGCACCUUAACAUACGCGGAUUGGAGCAAUCGGUCGCAGGGAAUUAUACUUGUUCGGCUAGCAACUUAUUCGGCGACGACUCCAUCACGUAUUCAUUAGUUGUAGUGAUGCCACCCAGAGCACCGACAUUAGAAUUGCAAUAUACGACAACCAACAGUAUCAGAUUCCGUUGGAAUCAUCCUGACAAUGGCGGUGCUACUAUACAAGGAUAUGUGUUAAGCUACAAGAGGGAUCAGGGUGGAUGGGAAGAAAUUGCCUUAUCUCCUGAGCAGACGGAAUUCGUGCUCUCUGGAUUAAAAUGUGGUUCUUCCUAUUUAGCGCAUUUAACAGCACACAAUCGCGUCGAUACCGGCGACCCGAGUCCGUUAAUUAGCGCAACAACGAAGGGCACCGCGCCCCUAUUGCCUAAGGAAAGAGAUAUUAUUUCGGCAAACGGCACGUCGGUGAAAUUAAAUUUAUUAUCUUGGCCUAACGGAGGAUGCCCCAUUCAAUAUUACACCGUCGAGUAUCGUAGGCGAAUCAAUACGGAACCGUGGAUUUUGGUGGCCAGUAGAGCGACCGAUAACGUCGUGAUUCGUGAUUUAAAAACGGCAUCGUGGUACAGUUUACGUUUGACGGCUCACAACGACGCUGGCUCGACUCAGGCUCAAAUGGAGUUUGCCACGACCACGUUAAGCGGAGUCAGUAUCGGUCCGCCCAACGAUCUGAUAAUGGAGGACGAUAUCAAGAAGACUGUGCCUAAUCAUAAAGUUUUGUAUGUCAUCGUACCGCUCAUCUGCGCAAUCGUUUUGGUUGUUUCUGCCGUUAUCCUGGGAUAUGUCAUGCUUAAACGUAACGGCAGAGCGAACUAUCUAGGCGAGAUGUUACCGGGACAACAGCAGCAACAACAAGCUUUAGGAAUAGUUCCACAACAACAGCACCAGCAACAACAUCAUCACUUGUCCAGUUGUAUGUCGACCGUACAACUCAAGUCGACGGCUGAACGAGACAACAGACGUAAUCAUCAGGUUUACACUAGUUCGCCCGUGAAGCAAGAAAAUCACAAAUCCGCCGAUCACGGAUCUGAAAUGUAUGAGAUAAGUCCGUACGCCACGUUUAGCGUUCCCGGAAGAGAGAAUCGUUCGGUCACAACUGCGACGCUCGACUACACGAUGCAAUUCAAGACUUUUGGUCAUUUGGAGAACGAGGACAUCAACACUAUCGAUUAUGACAGAUCCAGCGUGGAGUUCGAAAGGUCGAAAACACCAAGGUGGCACAAGCAACGCUACUUUCCGAGCAUCGCGGAAGCCGAGAGCAAGCUGCGAUCGAGUCGACAAGGCUCCGGGAGCGACACGUCCGGAAGCCCUUGCGGCGAAUGCACCGGGCCUAGUUAUAGAGUGCCAGUAAAGCCUUGUAGAGAUGUAUUUUCGCGAGGUGUCGAAUCGAGUACGGAAUCUAACAACGAAGGCUCGCCCUCACUCGCGAGACGACGAAGCCGACAGCCGAGCCGGUCUACUCGCAGUUCGGUGGAGGAUAUGACACUAUUGCCGCCAACCGGGUUCAGUGACAGCCGCGAAUUGAGCGACGUGGAGUGCGACCGUGACCGUGAUCGCGAACGCGAUCGCGAAUGGCAAGGUUUAUCAGCCGGGACCCGUCACGGCGGCAGUUUGGGCAGACUUCCGAUUGAGGCCGUCGAAUCUAUGCUCGCUAGGUAUCGGCACGAGUCUCCGUAAACAGGCAUGCCGAGUACCAAGCAGCCGAGACCGGUCUAAUGCUCGGAAAUUUAUUUAUAUCAGCAAAGGAAGGAGCAAGAGAGACAAGAAUUCACUAUACACGUAUGAUCGAGAUUCGCUGGUUCGACUUGGUAUCUUCGCCGGACGAUUUAACAUUAUUUAGAAAGAGAUGACAAGUCGUCUCUUUUCUUGAAACUAUCCGUCGCCGUUGAAGAAAAUUUUAAUGUGUUGAAAAGAGUGCGUGAGAGACAAUUUAAUUUUUAAUGGAGAUGGAUAUAAGAGACUCCUCAGGUCCAUUUGUGUCGAAGAGGCGUCUCAAUAACUGAUCUGCGUUGCGCCAAAUACUGCCGUUAUUAUACACAAAACAUGGCCUUCGUAUAUAACCCUGUAUGUGCCACGUAUGUAACGCCGAAUUUCGAAAAAAAAAAAGAACACCAAAUCCUGUCGGCGAUAUACACAUGAUGCAAUUAAGCAAUCGAGAAGUAACGGAAGCAUUCGAUUAACUGUACGUUUUUGAUAGCAUUUAUCCUUUCUAUCACCGAAUUACGAUUACAUUGUCUUACGAUUACCGUACGGAACGUGAUUACGAUAAAAAAAAGUCUGAUUGACCGAUCCAUUACUUUCGCGACGACCAAUUAUUGAUAUACAGGGUGAACGCCAACUUCCAUGCGAGUACCUCCGCUUCACUAGUGCGAUCUACUUAUUAAUGAGCUAUUCUACGUAUGAUUAUAGGAACGACCGAUUAUUCGCGGUAAUGAGUAUUGCAUUUUAAAAGAUUUUAAAAAACGCUGCAACGACCGCAGCGUUACACGUUACACGUUACCCCCGUAAGAAAUAGGUCAAUUAAUUCGAAGCUAUAAUGACGAACGUUUAUUCGAAACGAAACUGAAUUCCUAUUAAUCUUGACAAUCGGAAAUUGGUUCUCAAAUUGCUCUCGGUUUGAAAUUCGAAAGUGCUUCGAUUCGAUUUCACGCAAUUCAACUACGAAACCGACUUUCCACGAACGAUUUUUCGAAUAGCGUCAACUUUAUUAGAAAUGUAUAGUAUUAAGAACGUUAUGAAAAAAGAAAAAAAAACGAAGAGACUUGGGAAGAUAAGGAGAGCUUACGUGUGCUCCUUUCUCUAUCCUAAUUGAACGUAAUUGUGCGCUAUAACAAAUAGUAUUUACAAAUCGUUUAUCCGAAUAAGAAGCGGCUAGCGCCUUAACUGUGUAAAUAACUGCUCUUUGAGAAAUGACACUUAUCGAUGUGAUCGUAAAAUAACGCUAACGAUUAUGAAAUACCACGUGCACAGAGAGUCAUAGUAUGUCCGCAGACAAGAUCGAGAAUCGUGUAGCAUAGAGCGAUCGAAAAAACUGUAACUUCUCACCGGAGAUUCGGUUUCUUUUCGAAGAUCUCUCCCGUAACGUGAGACUGAUCGUUGACCGAGUACGCUUAAAUUGAUUUCUGCCAACAAGAGUAAAAGGGCCGGUUUCACCAUCUCCGAUUAGUUUAAUCGGCCGAUUAUUCCAUUGAAACUGACCAAUCGCAUUUGUCGUUAAGCAGAUUGACCAAUCAUGGUUGACAUUUGAUCGGCGCCGAUUAAAUUAAUCGAAGAUGGUGAAACCGGCUGUAAACGGUUAAUCGUUCCGAUCGAGCGACACUUCCGAUCACGCUCAAAAAGAGAAAGAAACAAACGGAACCAUGCGACGCGCGACGUUCUUCAUUUCCCUUUUACUUUAAUAAAAGAGAGACAAAGACUUGCUUAGAAUUAUUCUCGCGGUUGUUUUUAAGACAGUUGACUAAGUCUCGUAGGAAUCUCAAGAAAAUUCAUAUGAUAUACGUCUCUUGUUACUUUAUAACGGGUUAUCGCGUAGAUGUAAUAGAUAUGUAUAUAUAAGUGGAGAUGAUCAGAAGAUCAGACGAUUUCUCGAGAUUCGCGCGCGCGAAUUUCGCGCUCAUCUCGGACAAGAGUUUAUGCGAAAUGUAUCGCGAUCGAUAUCACAACAGUCAUCCUGCAGAAGAUGGAUGAAUCGAGGAGAGAAUCGGCGGUGAUUCAUUCUGUAAUGCCGGACUCCCAGAAAUUGGCAUAGUUUUAAGGAUCGUUUAUUUCUCACGAUUCAUCUGCUUCCGACAGGAUGAGAGAGACGUUGGAAUAGUUAGAGCAAGCGCAAGAGAGGCAAAAUAAUAUUGGAAGAGAAGAGCAUGUGUGUAUGUUUCAUUUCAUAUUAGCAAUCGCAAUCGCAAAACUGCCGGUUAAACAGUUGGGACAAGUGCGAUAAGAGUCACUUUAAGAAAAUAUCAGCGUAAUUGUCGUAAUCCAUCGCACAGAUAGAAUUGCGAAAUCAAGACUGUCCGUUCGAAUAAUUAAAGCAAAUAUGGAGCAACACGAAAAUUAUAUACACGAUGAAAAAGCUUAGCUAAAAAGAGGCUGUUUUGACAACUUCGACGAUUCUGAGAUUUGUAUAACGCCAAAGGGACGAUCUACCGAGAAAUAUGUGUACACUCAUGAAGAAAAAAAAUAAAAAGAGCAAAUUACAAUGCGGUAGAACUGCAA